rnacentral:rRNA from 1 species
GACGAACGCUGGCGGCGUGCUUAACACAUGCAAGUCGAACGGUAAGGCCCUUCGGGGUACACGAGUGGCGAACGGGUGAGUAACACGUGGGUGAUCUGCCCUGCACUUCGGGAUAAGCCUGGGAAACUGGGUCUAAUACCGGAUAGGACCACUGCCUGCAUGGGUGGUGGUGGAAAGCUUUUGCGGUGUGGGAUGGGCCCGCGGCCUAUCAGCUUGUUGGUGGGGUGAUGGCCUACCAAGGCGACGACGGGUAGCCGGCCUGGGAGGGUGACCGGCCAGAGUGGGACUGGGAUACGGCCCAGACUACUACGGGAGGCAGCAGAGGGGAAUAUUGCACAAUGGGCGCAAGCGUGAUGCAGCGACGCCGCGUGAGGGAUGACGGCCUUCGGGUUGUAAACCUCUUUCAGCACCGACGAAGCGCAAGUGACGGUAGGUGCAGAAGAAGGACCGGCCAACUACGUGCCAGCCGCCGCGGUAA